rfam:Flavobacterium aquatile LMG 4008 contig3, whole genome shotgun sequence.
AACUAGCCCUGAUAGUAAUGAAAAUAAAAAAUGUCCCGAUUGUUUCGGGACAUUUUUUAUUGUAAUGGAUAGCAGGAAAAUGG